AAGGAUUCCCCUAGUAACGGCGAGUGAAGAGGGAAAAGCUCAAAUUUUGAAUCUGGUGUCUUUGACUCCCGAGUUGUAAUCUAGAGAAGUGUUUUCCGUGUCGGACCGUGCACAAGUUCCCUGGAACGGGGCGUCAUGGAGGGUGAGAAUCCCGUAUAUGGCAUGGACURCCGAUGCUUUUGUGAUACACUCUCAACGAGUCGAGUUGUUUGGGAAUGCAGCUCAAAAUGGGUGGUAAAUUCCAUCUAAAGCUAAAUAUUGGCGAGAGACCGAUAGCGAACAAGUACCGUGAGGGAAAGAUGAAAAGCACUUUGGAAAGAGAGUGAAACAGUACGUGAAAUUGUUGAAAGGGAAGCGUUUGAAAUCAGUCGUAUCUGGUGGGAUUCAGCCGGGCUUUUGCCAGGUGUACUUCUCGUCCGAUGGGUCAGCAUCAAUUU
rnacentral:rRNA from 1 species